rnacentral:rRNA from 1 species
UGGGGAAUAUUGGACAAUGGGCGAAAGCCUGAUCCAGCAAUGCCGCGUGAGUGAUGAAGGCCUUAGGGUUGUAAAGCUCUUUUACCAGGGACGAUGAUGGCGGUACCUGAUGAAUAAGUCACGGCUAACUACGUGCCAGCAGCCGCGGUAAUACGUAGGUGACCAGCGUUGUCCGGAUUUACUGGGCGUAAAGAGCGCGCAGGCGGUCGUUCAAGUCGAGUGUGAAAGCCCCCGGCUCAACUGGGGAGGGUCAUUCGAUACUGAUCGACUUGAAGGCAGGAGAGGGAAGCGGAAUUCCCGGUGUAGUGGUGAAAUGCGUAGAUAUCGGGAGGAACACCAGUGGCGAAGGCGGCUUCCUGGCCUGUUCUUGACGCUGAGGCGCGAAAGCUAGGGGAGCAAA